rnacentral:misc_RNA from 1 species
AAGUCGUAACAAGGUUUCCGUAGGUGAACCUGCGGAAGGAUCAUUAACGAACGAAGGAUUCUUUAUGAAUCUUUUGGGAUCAACCAAAACCUGUGUGAAUUUAAUUGUAUUUCGAUCAAUAUCAUUAUUUGGUAUAAACGAAUACACUCAUUUAAUAAAUACAAAACUUUCAACAACGGAUCUCUUGGCUCUU